GACGAACGCUGGCGGCGUGCCUAAUACAUGCAAGUCGAACGCAGUGGGGACGGGUGAGUAACACGUGGGUAACCUCCCAUCAGAGGGGAUAACACUUGGAAACAGGUGCUAAACCGAUACUGAUGGAUGAACUCGCGGUGCAUUAGCUAGUUGGUGAGGUAACGGGCCACCAAGGCCACGAUGCAUAGCCGGCCUGGGAGGGUGGUCUGCCAAAAUGGGACUGGGGCAAGGGCCAGACUCCUGCGGGAGGCAGCCGUGAGGAAAUUUCCGGAAUGGGCGAAAGGCUGAACGGGCAACGCCGCGGGAGUGAAGAAAGGUUUCGGAUCGUAAAGCCCUGUUGUUAGAGGAGCGGUAACUAACCAGAAAGCGACGGCUAACUCCGUGCCAGCAGCCGCGGUAAUUC
rnacentral:rRNA from 1 species